rnacentral:rRNA from 1 species
UACGUAGGGUGCGAGCGUUGUCCGGAAUUACUGGGCGUAAAGAGCUCGUAGGUGGUUUGUCGCGUUGUUCGUGAAAACCGGGGGCUUAACCCUCGGCGUGCGGGCGAUACGGGCAGACUUGAGUACUGCAGGGGAGACUGGAAUUCCUGGUGUAGCGGUGGAAUGCGCAGAUAUCAGGAGGAACACCGGUGGCGAAGGCGGGUCUCUGGGACGGUACUGACGCUGAGACGCGAAAGCGUGGGGAGCGAACCGG